UACGUAGGGACCAAGCGUUGUUCGGAUUUACUGGGCGUAAAGGGCGCGUAGGCGGCGUGACAAGUCACUUGUGAAAUCUCUGAGCUUAACUCAGAACGGCCAAGUGAAACUGUUGUGCUAGAGUGCAGAAGGGGCAAUCGGAAUUCUUGGUGUAGCGGUGAAAUGCGUAGAUAUCAAGAGGAACACCUGAGGUGAAGACGGGUUGCUGGGCUGACACUGACGCUGAGGCGCGAAAGCCAGGGGAGCAAACAGG
rnacentral:rRNA from 1 species